CAUUUGGAAACAGGUGCUAAUACCGGAUAAUAAAGCAGAUCGCAUGAUCAGCUUUUGAAAGGCGGCGUAAGCUGUCGCUAAGGGAUGGCCCCGCGGUGCAUUAGCUAGCUGGUAAGGUAACGGCUUACCAAGGCGACGAUGCAUAGCCGAGUUGAGAGACUGAUCGGCCACAUUGGGACUGAGACACGGCCCAAACUCCUACGGGAGGCAGCAGUAGGGAAUCUUCCACAAUGGACGCAAGUCUGAUGGAGCAACGCCGCGUGAGUGAAGAAGGUUUUCGGAUCGUAAAGCUCUGUUGUUGGUGAAGAAGGAUAGAGGUAGUAACUGGCCUUUAUUUGACGGUAAUCAACCAGAAAGUCACGGCUAACUACGUGCCAGCAGCCGCGGUAAUACGUAGGUGGCAAGCGUUGUCCGGAUUUAUUGGGCGUAAAGCGAGCGCAGGCGGAAAAAUAAGUCUAAUGUGAAAGCCCUCGGCUUAACCGAGGAACUGCAUCGGAAACUGUUUUUCUUGAGUGCAGAAGAGGAGAGUGGAACUCCAUGUGUAGCGGUGGAAUGCGUAGAUAUAUGGAAGAACACCAGUGGCGAAGGCGGCUCUCUGGUCUGCAACUGACGCUGAGGCUCGAAAGCAUGGGUAGCGAACAGGAUUAGAUACCCUGGUAGUCCAUGCCGUAAACGAUGAGUGCUAAGUGUUGGGA
rnacentral:rRNA from 1 species